rnacentral:lncRNA from 1 species
UUGAUUUGGUAAGUGACCUGGGGGGAAUGACCUCGCAAUACAUCGUUGAACACUGGGGAUUGACCAAGCACAUUGAGGUCAUUCUGAGAUCCUGCCAAACCCAACAGUCGAAUGAAGCUAUGGCCUCCAAAAUUAUACUUUUUUGGUCCUUUCGAUUCCCAUAGUCUCCUUGCCAAGUAGUUGGGCAAUUCUUCCACUGUCAGUGCACGAAAUCGAUGCUGCCAAUCAUUCCUGGGAAACCUCGAGGUCCCUAGGCUUAGGUUUGCAAAGGUACUCCCUCAUGUAUAGAUUUUCUACUGCAUCAUAGAAUCUCACCAAGCACUCUAGGAUAGUUGAUUUUUACAUCCUUG